rnacentral:rRNA from 1 species
UACGUAGGGUGCAAGCGUUAAUCGGAAUUACUGGGCGUAAAGCGUGCGCAGGCGGUUGUGCAAGACAGAUGUGAAAUCCCCGGGCUCAACCUGGGAACUGCAUUUGUGACUGCACGGCUGGAGUGCGGGCAGAGGGGGAUGGAAUUCCGCGUGUAGCAGUGAAAUGCGUAGAUAUGCGGAGGACACCGAUGGCGAAGGCAACUCCCCGUGGGCUGCACUGACGCUCAUGCACGAAAGCGUGGGGAGCAAACAGG